AAACAUCUGCUAGCUGGAGGAGUGACAGGCAAUGGAUUCCAAACAUUGUGUGAAACUGAAUGAUGGUCACUUCAUGCCCGUACUGGGAUUUGGCACCUAUGCACCUUCAGAGGUUCCUAAAAGUAGAACUGCAGAGGUUACCAAAUUAGCAAUAGAAGUUGGGUUCCGCCAUAUUGAUUCUGCACAUUUAUAUGGCAAUGAAGAACAGGUUGGUCUAGCCAUCCGAAGCAAGAUUGCAGAUGGCUUUGUGAAGAGAGAAGACAUAUUCUAUACUUCAAAGCUUUGGUCCACUUUCCAUUGACCAGAGUUGGUUCGACCUGCCUUGGAAAACUCACUGAAGAAACUUCAAUUGGACUAUGUUGACCUUUAUCUUAUUCAUUUUCCAGUGUCUUUUAAGCCAAGUGAGAAGCUUACACCUACAGAUGAAAACGGAAAAGAGCUAUUGGACACAGUGGAUCUCUGUGCCACGUGGGAGGCCAUGGAGAAGUGUAAGGACGCAGGACUGGCCAAGUCCAUCGGGGUGUCCAACUUUAACCGCAGGCAGCUGGAGAUGAUCCUCAACAAGCCGGGGCUCAAGUACAAGCCUGUCUGCAACCAGGUAGAAUGUCAUCCUUAUCUCAACCAGAGCAAACUGCUGGAUUUCUGCAAGUCCAAAGACAUUGUUCUGGUGGCCUAUAGUGCUCUGGGAAGCCAAAGAGAAAAACGAUGGGUGGACCAGAACUCCCCAGUCCUCUUGGAGGAACCGGUCCUUGGUGCCGUGGCCAAAAAGCACAAGCGAACUCCAGCCCUGAUUGCCCUGCGCUACCAGCUGCAACGUGGGGUUGUGGUCCUGGCCAAGAGCUACAAUGA